CCAGACUCCUACGGGAGGCAGCAGUGGGGGAUAUUGCACAAUGGGGGGAACCCUGAUGCAGCGACGCCGCGUGGGUGAAGAAGCGCCUCGGCGCGUAAAGCCCUGUCAGCAGGGAAGAAAAUGACGGUACCUGAAGAAGAAGCCCCGGCUAACUACGUGCCAGCAGCCGCGGUAAUACGUAGGGGGCAAGCGUUAUCCGGAUUUACUGGGUGUAAAGGGAGCGUAGACGGCUAUGCAAGUCUGGAGUGAAAGGCGGGGGCCCAACCCCCGGACUGCUCUGGAAACUGUAGAGCUAGAGUGCAGGAGAGGUAAGUGGAAUUCCUAGUGUAGCGGUGAAAUGCGUAGAUAUUAGGAGGAACACCAGUGGCGAAGGCGGCUUACUGGACUGUAACUGACGUUGAGGCUCGAAAGCGUGGGGAGCAAACAGGAUUAGAUACCCCAGUA
rnacentral:rRNA from 1 species